rnacentral:rRNA from 1 species
UGGGGAAUAUUGCACAAUGGGGGAAACCCUGAUGCAGCGACGCCGCGUGGAGGAAGAAGGUCUUCGGAUUGUAAACUCCUGUUGUUGGGGAAGAUAAUGACGGUACCCAACAAGGAAGUGACGGCUAACUACGUGCCAGCAGCCGCGGUAAAACGUAGGUCACAAGCGUUGUCCGGAAUUACUGGGUGUAAAGGGAGCGCAGGCGGGAAGACAAGUUGGAAGUGAAAUCUAUGGGCUCAACCCAUAAACUGCUUUCAAAACUGUUUUUCUUGAGUAGUGCAGAGGUAGGCGGAAUUCUCGGUGUAGCGGUGGAAUGCGUAGAUAUCGGGAGGAACACCAGUGGCGAAGGCGGCCUACUGGGCACCAACUGACGCUGAGGCUCGAAAGUGUGGGUAGCAAACAGGAUUAGAUACCCUGGUAGUCCACACCGUAAACGAUGAUUACUAGGUGUUGGGAGAUUGACCCUCUCAGUGCCGCAGUUAACACAAUAAGUAAUCCACCUGGGGAGUACGACCGCAAGGUUGAAACUCAAAGGAAUUGACGGGGGCCCGCACAAGCAGUGGAGUAUGUGGUUUAAUUCGACGCAACGCGAAGAACCUUACCAAGUCUUGACAUCCUCUGACGAACGUAGAAAUACGUUUUCUCUUCGGAGCAGAGAGACAGGUGGUGCAUGGUUGUCGUCAGCUCGUGUCGUGAGAUGUUGGGUUAAGUCCCGCAACGAGCGCAACCCUUAUUGCCAGUUACUACGCAAGAGGACUCUGGCGAGACUGCCGUUGACAAAACGGAGGAAGGUGGGGAUGACGUCAAAUCAUCAUGCCCUUUAUGACCUGGGCUACACACGUACUACAAUGGCGUUUAACAAAGAGAAGCAAGACCGCGAGGUGGAGCAAAACUCAAAAACAACGUCUCAGUUCAGAUUGCAGGCUGCAACUCGCCUGCAUGAAGUCGGAAUUGCUAGUAAUCGCGGAUCAGCAUGCCGCGGUGAAUACGUUCCC